AGCAGCCGCGGUAAUUCCAGCUCCAAUAGCGUAUAUUAAAGUUGUUGCAGUUAAAAAGCUCGUAGUUGAAUUUCGGGGUUUAUCCGUUGGUCGGGCUUUUUGGUCUGUACUGGCGUGAUGGAUUCCUACCUUCUGAAUAACCGGCAUGCCAUUAAUUUGGUGCGCCGGGGAAGCAGGACUGUUACCUUGAAAAAAUUAGAGUGCUUAAAGCAGGCUUAUGCCUGAAUACAUUAGCAUGGAAUAAUGAAAUAGGACGGCAUGGUUCUAUUUUGUUGGUUUCUAGGAUCACCGUAAUGAUUAAUAGGGAUAGUUGGGGGGCAUUAGUAUUCAAUUGUCAGAGGUGAAAUUCUUGGAUUUAUUGAAGACUAACUUCUGCGAAAGCAUUUGCCAAGGAUGUCUUCAUUAAUCAAGAACGAAAGUUAGGGGAUCGAAGACGAUCAGAUACCGUCGUAGUCUUAACCAUAAACUAUGCCGACUAGGGAUCGGACGAUGUUAAUUUUUUAAUGACUCGUUCGGCGCC
rnacentral:rRNA from 1 species